AUUUCCCUGCCGUGUUUGCUAUUGUCAUAAAUUCCUUGAACCAUUCACAUGCAUAGGUUGCGGAAAUUGUCUAAUUGGUGUGAGCGUCGCUUUGUCCGAUGAACCCGAAAUUAAACUGACCGUGACCAACUUGAACCGCUCUUGGUUCAGGAUGCUGGCACAGCGGCUCUGGCGGGGAUUUA
rnacentral:other from 1 species